AACGAACGCUGGCGGCAGGCUUAACACAUGCAAGUCGAACGCGUGUAGCAAUACACGAGUGGCGCACGGGUGAGUAACGCGUGGAUAUCUGCCUUUUGGUUCGGAAUAACCCCGGGAAACUGGGGCUAAUACCGGAUGGUUCCUUCGGGAUAAAGAUUUAUCGCCAAAAAGAUGAGUCCGCGUCCGAUUAGCUAGUUGGUGAGGUAAUGGCUCACCAAGGCGACGAUCGGUAGCUGGUCUGAGAGGACGAUCAGCCACACUGGGACUGAGACACGGCCCAGACUCCUACGGGAGGCAGCAGUGGGGAAUAUUGGACAAUGGGGGCAACCCUGAUCCAGCCAUGCCGCGUGAGUGAUGAAGGCCUUCGGGUUGUAAAGCUCUUUUGGUCGGGGACGAUGAUGACGGUACCCGCAGAAUAAGCCCGGCUAACUUCGUGCCAGCAGCCGCGGUAAU
rnacentral:rRNA from 1 species